rnacentral:rRNA from 1 species
GUCCUUGCCGUAAACGAUGUAUACUUGGUGUAGUUGGACUCAACCCCAACUGUGCCGGAGCGAACGCGUUAAGUAUACCGCCUGGGGAGUACAGUCGCAAGGCUGAAACUCAAAAGAAUUGACGGGGACCCGCACAAGCAGUGGAGCAUGUGGUUUAAUUCGAUGCAACGCGAAGAACCUUACCUGGGCUUGACAUGCAGAGGAAUGAUCCAGAAAUGGAUAGGCUCUUCGGAGUCUCUGCACAGGUGCUGCAUGGCUGUCGU